GAUGAACGCUGGCGGCGUGCCUAAUACAUGCAAGUCGAGCGAACGGACGAGAAGCUUGCUUCUCUGAUGUUAGCGGCGGACGGGCGAGUAACACGUGGAUAACCUACCUAUAAGACUGGGAUAACUUCGGGAAACCGGAGCUAAUACCGGAUAAUAUUUUGAACCGCAUGGUUCAAAAGUGAAGGACGGUCUUGCUGUCACUUAUAGAUGGAUCCGCGCUGCAUUAGCUAGUUGGUAAGGUAACGGCUUACCAAGGCAACGAUGCAUAGCCGACCUGAGAGGGUGAUCGGCCACACUGGAACUGAGACACGGUCCAGACUCCUACGGGAGGCAGCAGUAGGGAAUCUUCCGCAAUGGGCGAAAGCCUGACGGAGCAACGCCGCGUGAGUGAUGAAGGUCUUCGGAUCGUAAAACUCUGUUAUUAGGGAAGAACAUAUGUGUAAGUAACUGUGCACAUCUUGACGGUACCUAAUCAGAAAGCCACGGCUAACUACGUG
rnacentral:rRNA from 1 species